AUGUUCUUUACCAUUUGGUGGAAAGGUUGUCGUCUUUGGUGGCGAUUUCAAGCAGGGACAAGAGCACAGAUCACUGAUGCUACACUGUUGAGAUCCUAUCUGUGGCAGAAGAUCCGCAAGAUACGCCUCACACGCAAUAUGCGGGCACAGACAGACCCUUGGUUCUCGGAAUACCUCCUACGGAUCGGCGAUGGGACAGAAGAAACAAUUGGCGACGACUAUGUGCAUCUCCCUGAAGACAUUGUGAUUGCUUAUACCGACGAUGAUGAACCUAUUAACAAGCUUAUCAAAGAUGUCUUCCCAUCCCUGCACACCAAUGCUAGGUCGAGAGAGUACAUGAGCACACGUGCAAUUCUCUCGACCAAAAAUGAGCAUGUAGAUGACCUGAAUGACAAGAUGAUCUCUAGGUUUCCGGGCGAAGAAAAGGUGUACCAUAGCUUUGACUAUAUCGAGGAUGACUUCCAGAAUAAUUACACAAUUGACUUCCUGAACUCGAUCACACCAAAUGAGUUGCCCCCGCAUGUCUUGAGAGUAAAAAUCAACUGCCCGGUCAUUUUGCUACGGAACCUCGACCCUCAUAAUGGGCUAUGUAAUGGAACACGGCUUAUGAUCAGGGCCUUCCAGGAUAAUGCAAUCAAUGCAUAG
rnacentral:rRNA from 1 species